GAUGAACGCUGGCGGCGUGCCUAAUACAUGCAAGUCGAGCGAACAGACGAGGAGCUUGCUCCUCUGACGUUAGCGGCGGACGGGUGAGUAACACGUGGAUAACCUACCUAUAAGACUGGGAUAACUUCGGGAAACCGGAGCUAAUACCGGAUAAUAUAUUGAACCGCAUGGUUCAAUAGUGAAAGACGGUUUUGCUGUCACUUAUAGAUGGAUCCGCGCCGCAUUAGCUAGUUGGUAAGGUAACGGCUUACCAAGGCGACGAUGCGUAGCCGACCUGAGAGGGUGAUCGGCCACACUGGGACUGAGACACGGUCCAGACUCCUACGGGAGGCAGCAGUAGGGAAUCUUCCGCAAUGGGCGAAAGCCUGAUGGAGCAACGCCGCGUGAGUGAUGAAGGUCUUCGGAUCGUAAAACUCUGUUAUUAGGGAAGAACAAAUGUGUAAGUAACUAUGCACGUCUUGACGGUACCUAAUCAGAAAGCCACGGCUAACUACGUG
rnacentral:rRNA from 1 species